AYCAAAAUGACUCUCGGCAACGGAUAUCUCGGCUCUUGCAUCGAUGAAGAACGUAGCAAAAUGCGAUACUUGGUGUGAAUUGCAGAAUCCCGUGAACCAUCGAGUCUUUGAACGCAAGUUGCGCCUGAAACCAUUAGGUUGAGGGCACGUCUGCCUGGGUGUCACA
rnacentral:rRNA from 1 species